rnacentral:rRNA from 1 species
GACGAACGCUGGCGGCGUGCUUAACACAUGCAAGUCGAACGGUUAAGCGCCUUCCUCUUUGGUGGGUGUGGAUGAGUGGCGAACGGGUGAGUAACACGUUAGUAACCUGCCCCCUUCUUCUGGAUAACCGCAUGAAAGUUUCGCUAAUACGGGAUAUUCUGGGUCUGUCGCAUGAUGGGUCUGGGAAAGAUAUUGUUUCGGUGGGGGAGGGGCUCGCGGCCUAUCAGGUUGUUGGUGGGGAGGUGGCCCACCGAGGCGGUGAGGGGUAGCUGGCCUGGGAGGGUGAACCGUCCCAGAGGGGAGACACGGCGCAGCAGCCUACGAGGGGCGGCAGCGGGGAGGAAUAGUGAACGGUGGGAGCAAGGCUGAUGCAGCGACGCCGCGUGAGGGAUGGAGGCCUGCGGGUUGUGAACCUCUUUCGCCAGUGAAGCAGGCCUGCCUCGUUUGUGGGUGGGUUGACGGUAGCUGGAGAAGAAGCGCCGGCUAACUACGUG